rnacentral:rRNA from 1 species
CAUUCAUAAUCAAGUGUUUUUAUGGCACUUUCAAAAAUCCAUAUCCACCUUGUGUGCAAUGUCAUCUCACUGGAGGUCAACGGCUGUAAAAAUCCGUUGGUCACCUUUGGGAUUUAUAUCUACUCAGAACUUUAGUGAUUUUGUCUGAAACAUAUUAUGAAUACUUAAUUCAAAAUACAACUUUCAACAACGGAUCUCUUGGCUCUCGCAUCGAUGAAGAACGCAGCGAAAUGCGAUACGUAAUGUGAAUUGCAGAAUUCAGUGAAUCAUCGAAUCUUUGAACGCAUAUUGCGCUCUCUGGUAUUCCGGAGAGCAUGCUUGUUUGAGUAUCAGUAAACACCUCAACUCCCCUUUCUUUUUUGAAAUGGGAGCUGGACUUGAGUGAUCCCAACGCUUUUCUCACCGAAAAGUGGCGGGUUACUUGAAAUGCAGGUGCAGCUGGACUUUUCUCUGAGCUAAAAGCAUAUCUAUUUAGUCUGCCUAAAAAACAGAUUAUUACCUUUGCUGCAGCUAACAUAAAGGAGAUUAGUUCUUGUGCUGACUGAUGCAGGAUUCACAGAGACAGCUUCGGCUGGCUUUGUAAACUCGAUCUCAAAUCAAGUAAGACUACCCGCUGAACUUAAGCAUAUCAAUAAGCGGAGGAAAAGAAACUAACAAGGAUUCCCCUAGUAACGGCGAGUGAAGCGGGAUGAGCUCAAAUUUAAAAUCUGGCUGGUUUACUAGUCCGAAUUGUAGUUUAAAGAAGCGUUUUCGGUGGCAGCCUGGGUAUAAAUCCUUUGGAACAGGGUAUCAUAGAGGGUGAGAAUCCCGUCUUUGACUCAGUGCAUGCUACUAUGUGAUACGUUUUCAAAGAGUCGAGUUGUUUGGGAAUGCAGCUCAAAAUGGGUGGUAAAUUUCAUCUAAAGCUAAAUAUUGGCGAGAGACCGAUAGCGAACAAGUACCGUGAGGGAAAGAUGAAAAGAACUUUGAAAAGAGAGUUAAACAGUGCGUGAAAUUGUUGAAAGGGAAACGCUUGACACCAGUCAUGCGAGCGGAAAAUCAGUCUUUUGCGGUGGGGAGUUGUGUGGGUUCGGACCGCAAGGCCGGCCUGCGCUUCAUCUCUGCUGUAAGUGAUGCACUUUUUCGUUUGCAGGCCAACAUCAGUUUCUUCUGCUGGACAAAACUCUUGAGAAGGUAGCAGCUUAGGCUGUGUUAUAGCUCUUGAGCGAUACAGUGGAGGAGACUGAGGUUUUCGCAGCGCGUGCUUUCGGGCAAGGCUGAUUGGGUGCUAUGGGAUCGUUCGGUGUACAAUGCAUGCAUUUUGCGCCGUGUCUUUUCUAUACUCGCUCAACUCGG